rnacentral:rRNA from 1 species
GACGAACGCUGGCGGUGUGCUCAACACAUGCAAGUCGAACGGUAAGGCCCUUUCGGGGGUACACGAGUGGCGAACGGGUGAGUAACACGUGAGUAACCUGCCCUCAUCUCUGGGAUAACAGUCGGAAACGGUUGCUAAUACUGGAUAUGAGCCUGCAAGGCAUCUUGUGGGUUGGAAAGAUUUUUUGGUUGGGGAUGGACUCGCGGCCUAUCAGCUUGUUGGUGAGGUAGUGGCUCACCAAGGCUUCGACGGGUAGCCGGCCUGAGAGGGCGACCGGCCACAUUGGGACUGAGAUACGGCCCAAGCUCCUACGGGAGGCAGCAGUGGGGAAGAUUGCACAAGGGACGGAAGGCUGAUGCAGCAACGCCGCGUGCGGGAUGACGGCCUUCGGGUUGUAAACCGCUUUCAAUUGUGACGAAGCUUUUUGUGACGGUAGCAGUAGAAGAAGCACCGGCUAACUACGUG